AGCAGAAUACUAAGCCCUCUAAGGGUGUACAUGUCGGAUUGAAAAAUUAGCCAUUCAUAGAGCAGCAUUCAUCCAUGUCAUUUUGAUUAAUUUUGGAUACGUGUUCUCUUCUUUCUUCUAUAUUACCGGCGACUUAUCACUUCUUCUUCUUCCACCACAUAUUUGUAACCGUCGAAUUAACUACAGCUCUUAACUCCUCUGCAAUUAAAUAUCGAAUACUUCCUCAUCCUUUCAGCUUCCAUAUUUAGGAACACGUUGGCAAGUCUCUGUUCAUCUUUUUCUAUUAUUGCAAUCUUCUAUUACAGCUGGAGAGGGCAAUGGAGAGGCGGAGAAGCUAGCUUGGGUUCGUUGAGAAGCAAAAAAACUUCCCGGGUAGUAAUAGAGAGAGCACCAGUUGUGGAUCCAGUUCGUUGAACUUUAUAAAUUUGCUAAGCGAUCAUUCAUGGGCAUGAUGAAAAAGUAUUCGACUUCUGCUCACUCACAUGCUUCCUCCUGUGCUGAUUGAGAAAGAUGGUACUCAGAGAAGUUCGUGAAAGGACAAUGAGAUAAAGAAGACUGUGUUCCUGAGUGAAAAACGUAAAUAGAAUGUCUCUUGGAAAGUUUAGAUCGAAAACUUCUUACGCCUAUUUUGGAGUUUUCUGACAUGAUGGUUGCCCUUCUGAUGUAAGCCACUUUGGGAUUUCUGCGUUUGCAAUCUGGUGAGUCAACAUCUGAUCUUAUCAUGUUAUUUCAAACAUGGAAGCGGGUAGAUUGGGCUCCAACCAUCGGUUAGAAGGCUUUUUCCCGGAUUACUCCAGCAGUUCAAUAAUAGCUGAUGUUAUCAUAUGCGAAAAUAUGUUUGGGGUGCUGACUUCUUCUUCUUCAUCAGCUGGUACUCCCCUUCGUUUCUUUGUUUAUGACAAGUAUUUAAAAGGACUAAAAAGGUAAAUAUACCUUUAUAUUUGAAAUCUGAAUUGGAAACAUUCUUCAGUCAAAAGUUAAUUGAAAUCUGAAUUUUCCAGAAUCCUGGAACACUUUCUAAAGCAAUAAAAAUUGAACACACUGUGCUUACACUUUCUGGCUCAGGAACUCUAGAGUGGUGACAACAUUACAAAAAUACUUUCAAAGUAUUUGGACCAUUGGGAUCAUCACACUUCACAGCAGAGGGGCGUUCAAGGAACCAUCUAUUGAAUAUUCUGUCAAAAAAUAGUAACACCACGUUAUUCACUAAUGAUAUAUUGUUCGUACACUCUUACAAACAAUGAUGUUAACGUAGGGUAAGUUCGAGUUUAGCCCCAUCUAUUGUGUGCCACCAGAUAAGGCUCUAUGUAAAAGAGGUUUUCAUUUCAGAUUAUUUAGACCGGGAGGUGGUGAGAGAUUUCUCUUUGGUGUGGCCUUUCAAGAAAUCUGUAUUUCUUUUUUAUUGAUAUCCAUUUUAAUGCAAAGCCUUCAACAUA